AGAGUUUGAUCAUGGCUCAGGACGAACGCUGGCGGCGUGCCUAAAACAUGCAAGUCGAACGAGAGCUUCGGCUCUAGUGGCGAACGGCGGAGUAAUACGUGAACAACGUGCCCCUAAGUCCGGGACAAACGCAGAAAUGCCAUAAAUACCGGAUGUGGUCAGGAUGAUGCAUAUCGAUCUGAUUAAAGGUUUUUCGCUUAGGGAGCGGUUCACGGCCUAUCAGCUAGUUGGCGGGGUAAAAGCCCACCAAGGCGACGACGGGUAGGGGGUCUAAGAGGAUGAUCCCCCCGAGUGGGACUGAGACACGGCCCACACACCUACGGGUGGCAGCAGUUGGGAAUCUUGCACAAUGGGGGAAACCCUGAUGCAGCGACGCCGCGUGGAGGAUGAAUGGUCUAGGCCUGUAAACUCCUUUUACCAGGAAAGACUUAGGACGGUACCUGGUGAAUAAGCCCCGGCUAACUACGUGCCAGCAGCCGCGGUAAU
rnacentral:rRNA from 1 species